CGAGGAUAAGUAUUUCAGAUACGAAUCCGCAGCGAAAGCGAGUCUGAAUAGGGCGAGCUUCCCCCUUUGGGGAAAGCGCACUUUGUGCGUUAAGUUGGUAGUAGUAGACGCGAAACCUGGUGAUCUACCCUUGGGCAGGUUGAAGCGCUGGUAACACAGCGUGGAGGACCGAACUGGUUGUCGUUGAAAAGACUUCGGAUGACCUGAGGGUAGGGGUGAAAGGCCAAUCAAACUGGGAAAUAGCUCGUACUCCCCGAAAUGCAUUUAGGUGCAGCGUUGUAAUAAAGUUUAAUAGAGGUAGAGCUACUGAUUGGAUGCGGGGGUUUCACCGCCUACCAAUUCCUGACAAACUCCGAAUGCUAUUAAAUGUUUUACAGCAGUGAGGGCUUGGGUGCUAAGGUCCAAGUCCGAGAGGGAAAGAACCCGGACCAUCAGCUAAGGUCCCCAAAUAUAUGCUAAGUUGACCAAACGCGGUCUGACUGCACUGACAGCUAGGAUGUUGGCUUGGAAGCAGCCAUACAUUUAAAGAGUGCGUAACAGCUCACUAGUCGAGCGGUUCGGCAUGGAGAAUAAACGGGCAUAAGCAUAUUACCGAAGCUAUGGGGUAGAGAUACCGGUAGGGGAGCAUUCUAUAGGCGUUGAAGCUAAAGGCGUGAGCCAUAGUGGAGCUGAUAGAAAAGAAAAUGUAGGCAUAAGUAACGAUAAGGCAGGCGAGAAACCUGCCCGCCGAAAGAUCAAGGUUUCCUCAGCUAUGCUAAUCAGCUGAGGGUUAGUCGGGGACUAACGCGAACCCUUUCAGGGGAAGUGGAUGUACAACGGGUUAAUAUUCCCGUACUAGUAUUUCAAUAAAAGUGACGGAAUGAGAUAUACGCUGCGCACAGACGGAGUUGCGUUGAAGGAGCUGUUAUGGCUUUGAUAGUACACUUAGGCUACGGUCGAGGUGAUAAUGCGUAGACAACGUUUCCAAGAAAAGCGAGAGAUACUACCCGUACCGUAAACCGACACAGGUGAUUGGGAAGAGAAUUCUAAGGCGCUCGAGAGAUUCAUGGCUAAGGAACUAGGCAAAAUAGACCUGUAACUUCGGGAGAAAGGUCGCCUAUCUAGCGAUAGGCCGCAGUGAAAAGGUCCAAGCGACUGUUUAUCAAAAACACAGGACUCUGCAAAAUCGAAAGAUGAGGUAUAGGGUCUGACACCUGCCCGGUGCUGGAAGGUUAAGAGGAGGGCUUAGCGUAAGCGAAGGUCUGAAUUGAAGCCCCAGUAAACGGCGGCCGUAACUAUAACGGUCCUAAGGUAGCGAAAUUCCUUGUCGGGUAAGUUCCGACCUGCACGAAUGGUGUAACGAUUUGGACACUGUCUCGGCCAUGAGCUCGGUGAAAUUGUAGUAUCGGUGAAGAUGCCGAUUACCCGCAGUGGGACGAAAAGACCCUGUGCACCUUUACUAUAUCUUCGUAUUGACCUUGGAUAAGUGAUGCGUAGGAUAGGUGGGAGACUAUGAUUGAGGCAUUCCGGUGCUUCAGGAGUCGUUGUUGAAAUACCACCCUUUGCUUAUCUGAGGCCUAACUCUCUUGCUAGAGAGGACAAUUCGUGGAGGGUAGUUUGACUGGGGUGGUCGCCUCCAAAAGCGUAACGGAGGCUUCUAAAGGU
rnacentral:rRNA from 1 species